AGUGCAUUCAUUGCCCGCCCGACGCCAUUUAAACUUUCGAAACUUUUAUCGAUGUUUAAAUGAAGAAUCUACAAGAAGAUAUAUACAUGUGGGUUUACAUUUAUCUUUAUCUUUUACGGAAUUCAAUGUAUCAUCAGCAAACAGAUAAGCUGUAAUAUUUCAACAUGUCAAUGGCGCAAGUGAUAUUAUGUGUAUCAGCCAUGUUGAAGAAUAGCUAUUAAUGCGCGCGUCAAUUUGAAACGUGGUUACAUCGGUUUCGUCGUCCCUUCGCGUGUUUGCUUUUUGCAUCGUAAAUCUCUUCUGUGAUUUAUCCACUUCACCUCCUUUCCGCUGUUUUUGCGAUACUUCAGUUUCCAGGACAAUCGGAUCUUUGUGUAACGUUUUGCCUAGAUUUAUAGUACGAAAGCAGAUACGUUUCUAAAGCAUGAAUCGUGUGUUAUAAGUAAAAUGACAAGGGAAAUGCUUGCAUAUUUUGUCUUUUGGUCAGUUAUUCUGGUUUUGAAGAAUCUGAAAAUUACAUGAUUUUAAAAAUGUGUAAUUAUUGUGUAAAUUAAAUUUAUGUAGGAUUUAAUAGAUAGAGAAGAAGUAAUAAUUUCCUGUAAAAUGAUCAUAAGUUGAUCAUAAAAACUGUUCUUACAGUUCUUUGGUUCUUAUUAAAAAAUUCUAAGAUUUUUUUUAAGACAAUUUCAGGAUUUGAUAUAAAUUAUGAAUUUUAGUUAUAUGCAUAUAUUUUUAAUGCUUACAAUUAAAUUAAAUGCUUAAAUGUUCAAUUUCUAUUCAAUUUAAAAACAAAUAGUAGGAUUAAUUAAUUGCAAUUUCAAAUUUAAAAACACAAAUCUGAAAAAUAAAUAUGAAAAUAAAAAACAACAAACUAUUUCAAAUGGAAUAUGGAAAGGAUACAUAAUCAUAAAUAAAAAAGGACACAAUAAAAAAGGAAAUUAGAGAAUACAAGAGAAUAGAUCUAGAUAUCCGAUCUAUACAGUGUUUCAAGCGUUUCCUCAAAGCAGCUGAACCUAUUUUUGUGGAACAAGAAUUUGUGCUUAACGCUUUGGUAGAUAGUCUGGAGGAGGAAUUGCUCAAACAAACGAUUCAUUUGUCUGGAAACAAAGUGAGGCUUAGAAUUCAUAGGAACCAACAGUUUCGUGUUUGGAUUUCAAUCGAUCGAUGAAAAAUAGAAUCUGACCAACAAACAAAUUAAAUUUUUGCCUCGAAUCGAGGAUUAAAAAAAAAAAAAAAAGAAAUGAAACAACAUGGAAAGGAAAGAUAUUUCUUACUGAUCAAAGGCGUAUGAAAAUUUCUUAUAAAUAUUUCUACACUUGUAUCGAAUCGAAGAAAAGUAUAAUAGAUAUAAUAAAUUGUGACAAAUUUAACGUAAAAAAACGUAAGAUUACAAGUGUAUCGUUGGAGAAGAGGAAAAAGAAUGGUAACAGCUCAAGGAUCGAAGUAAAAUUAGAUUUGAUGACCACCAAUCACAGAUUUUUAUUCGAGCAGGACGCCCACAAGAUUACAUCGAAGUCGGUGAUGAGUAAAAAUAAAAAAUGAUCCUCGACAUUUUCUCGAAUUCUUUUCGCAUAUCUUCCUGUUAUUUGAGACCACGGUGUUGCUUAACAAUAAUUGUAUCUGAUGAGGAAGAAAUGUCGGGUCGAGGUAGUUGGUCGGUAUCCAACAUACUGCUACUGUGAAAUUCGUGCGUUGUUUGCAAGUUAAAUUAAUAAUGGUCAUACAGUUUACAUUUCCACAUUUAUAUUGCGGUACAAUGACUGGUUAACUUAUUGUUAAUAAUAUUUUACGAGUGCUGGACAAUCUGCAAGAGGAUAACAUUUUGUCGAAAUGUAUUGUAUGCUUGAAUUUGAUUUAAGACGUGAUAUAUAAUGAAUAAAUAGUUGUUCGUUUAUUAGAUUGAAAAUUAGGAGGUAGAAAGUUUACAUUAAAAAUUAAAAGUUAGAAAUUUUAUAGAAAAUAGAAAUAUUAGGAAAAUUCAGAGGACUAGAGAAUUCUUUGCAAAUAGAAGACAAAAGAAAAUAGAAACUUGUCAAUCAUAAAAUCACGAAUUACUCGCAAUUAUGUUGGACGCAAUGUUGAUAAAUCAUGAUUACAUUUCAAACAAGAAACAAAACUUUGGGGGGUAUUUGUGACCAUUGAGAAAGAAUGGAAUAUUGAAAGCUGCUCGAGAAUAAAAGAGAGAAGGACAGACGUGUUUAUAAAGGCAGUUUGAGAUGUGUAAAUCAUCCUCGUAACACGAAAAAGAGAGAAAAAAAUGAAACGAACAAAGCACGGUUAAUUCGUCCCGUCACCGCAUAUGAUAGCCUAAUGUCUGUCCAACAGACUAAAGGACGUUUAAGGCUCAUAAAUCACACGUGCCAACCGUGGUUUGAAGAAGCUUUAAUCCAUGAGUUACUAGACAGCAAUUAAAAACUUCCAUUGACGAAACGACAUUACAGGGAUAUGUUGAAGUACAAGCGCAAUUUCAAGGAUAGCCGACUCUUCAUCGGUCUCAGAAAAAAUUGGAGAAAAAUUUAUACCGAGGAAAUGUCUAGGUACAUUGUGGCUGGUUUUAUGAUUUAUUAUUCCUGGAAUAAUAAACUUGCUUUUAAAUUAAAAGCUAUUUCACAUUUGAUAAGGAUAAUAUUAUGGAUAAUUUUUUUGAAAUUCUAUAUUUCUUUUAAAUAUAAUUUUUAUAAUUUUAUAAUUAUAUUUUUAUAAUUGUAUUACAAAUAGUUUGUUUUAAUAGAUUUAUCCUAUAUUUCAAUAUUCUACUAUUAAUUAUAAUACGAAAAAAAAUAAUAUCUUUCUAUUUUCACUUUACGAAUACGAAUGAAAGAAAUAUGUAAAAUUAUUGUCAAAAGAACGGUAUUAGUUACAAGAAUUAAUAAUAAUUUAAUAAUAAUAAUAUUUAGAAAUUUAAAAAAUUCUUUUCCUAGUAAUCUUCUUUUUUAAUCGGAAAAAAGAUAAUAAAAAAAAUUUGUUAUUUCGAUGAACAACAAACAGGCAAAAACACGAUCAUAUUUUUCAUUAUUUCGCGAUAAUUGUAUCUCCUCAUCAAUCGUGCAACAAAGUGAAUUUCAUUUAAAUGGAAAGGAAUAGUCGUGUACAGAGAGAUAAAACAGAGACUUCUUUAAUUACUCAAAAUAAUUGUUAGCAUGAAUUAUUCUCGUAGUAAAUGCAAACAUUGUGUAAAGAUUCGAUUAGUUAAUGGCACAUUUAUCAAAUAUUAUGAUGCAUAAAUAUCGGUGUGAAAGGUAUUUGUAAUGGAACCAUAUUUUUUUUUUUUUUUUUUUUAACGUGGGGGAAAUCCUCAUAGGACACCUCGGUCUCCUGGGGGGAGAGGAGACCGGGGUAGUGUCGGACUUUUACCGACUAAAACCCCCACGGUGACCUUCCGAGGCCACACCAGCGCCGCCACCGUCUUUCGUAUCGACACGGGCCCCCCACCCGUGCCGACGACGGUCCCGCGGCCUUCAAUGACACAACUGCGGAGCGCCGCUGGAGUGGGGGCCCCCUUCACGGGCCAGAGCGGUAUUUUAGUUUGAGCCGCGUACUCGGGAACCCUGCGACGUAAAACUCGUACCGCAUCGCACUGCGGCUUUUGAGUAAACCGUAAUGGAACUUUCUGGUGAAAGAAAUUGAAUCUGAGACUGAUAAUAUACAAUAUUUGUUCUUACACUCUUCCUUAAUUAGUUAUAUUUGAGUAGUAAAAUAUUGUAACGUGUAUUAUUGUUAUGGAAGUUAUUAGAGAUGAAGAAAAUAGGAUUUAGAAUUGGUAAAUAUGGAAUUUUUUUCGGUUAAAGUCGAAAAAUUAAUGAUAUUUAAGAAUUUUAUGUUGCUAGUAUAGUAAUAUAUUAUUUGGUGUUAGAGAAAGAUAAUGAUAUUAUUUCAAAAUUAAAAUUUUUUAGAUAAAUUUGUUAUCGAUUUUGGGAAUAGUUAAUAUUGAUUUAUCAAUAUAUCUUAUUUCUCCUUUUUAAAUAAUUUAAAAAAUCAAUAUUUUAGUUUAGAAUAUUAAUAUUUAUAUUAAUAACAUUUCAUCUCACAUUUUAUAAACAUUUAUAAACAUAAUUUCUUCUCUUCGACUUUCAUUUUGUUGUAUUCAAUGAAUAUUUCAUUAUCCUCUAUUCUAUUAUUAUAUUUAUUUUCGAGAUAAUUCAAGAAAUUUUUUAAUAUUUCGCGGGAGUUUCUAAAUGGCAUUACGCAUGAUAUUCUUCAUAUAUCACAUACCGGUGUAUUAUCAGAAAGAUAAAUGUUCGCAGCUGGUGUUAUUUGUCAGCGUGAUAUAAUUAUGAUAAAAAAGAAAAAAAAAGGAAAUGAGUAUGAAUUAUCAUGCAAACCGCAAAUAUCUGUCCAAGUAUCCUUUGUUUUCUGCUUGCAUAAUCACAAGACAUGUUACAAUCGUUGAUAUAUUUAUAGUGUGACAUAAAAGUUCUUGUUAAAACGAGCAAAUAAUAAAUUAAUUAUGUUCUUACAAGACAUUAUAAUGAGUCAACUUCAAUAGUGAAUGAUAACAGACGAACGUUUGUUUCAUUUCUCUGACUUUCGAAAUGAUUCUCUUCAAAUGUCCUUUUCAUGGCGGCACAUAAACGUCUGCAUACCAUAUUCGACAAGUUUACGAUCCGCUUUAUAGAGCUGGUCUGUGAAACACUAGAUAUGCGUUCACGCUGGCAAAGAGGGUUGAAAACGAUGCGGUCUCUUGGCUAUGAGAUUGUCCCGAAAGGAAUGAAUACCCCAUUAACAACAUCGAGGCGUGUAUCAAGAAAAGCAGUAAAGAAAGCAAAUCGUAUGUGUGAAUCAGUGUCUAGACAUAUUAUUUUUAAGGUUUCCAAACUUGUUGAAUAAAAAUCUGGUGGAGAAUAAUGUGAUUUUUGAGAUUAUGUAAAUAAAUAAUGAAGUAAUUUUAUAUUGUUUGAUUAUUUAGGGAGUAAUAUUGUGUUAAUAUGGUAUUUUAUUUGGAAUUUUUCUUUGAAAUAAUUUACAUAGAGAUUAUUGUAUUAUAAUUUUUAAUAAUGAUAUUACGAAAAGAAAGUUUAGAAAUAUUUAUAGUAUUAUAUAUCAUAAUACCAUAAGAAAUUGUUUCUGUGCUUCUAAUUUCCCCUCAUUUUUAAAUUAAUCAUUUAUUCAUUUUUCAUACAUCAUUGAUGAAAUCAAUUGAAAUCAAUUCUAAAACAAUAAGUUUUAGAAUUAAAAUUUUUACAUUUAUAUUAUUUCCUUAUUCGUUAAUAAAUCAUUAAGAAUUCUGUUAACAUAUCCAACAGUUAUUAAUGAAAUAAAUCAAAAUUUUAUAUAUUAUUAAAAAAAUAUAUAAAAAAAAGAUCAAAGCUUCUAAAUGUCCUGCACGAAAUUUAAUAAUAACGUUUGGCCUCUUUAAUGAACAGCAACCAAUCAAAUAUCGAAAAUCAGUUUGACCUCCCCAUACCAGGGGUGGGUGAAAUGUCUAAUUUUAGUGGUUGCAAAUUGCACAUGGCACGCGAUUCCAUGCCAGGAGGCCCUCAUGCCAAACACGUGGUCGUUUAACGAUCGUGUUUGCACAAUCGCAUCGUGAUCCUAGAUGUGCUUUUUCGAAAUUUCAUAUAGACGUCUAACGACAUCCGGUUUCGAUCCUCCUUUUCUCUCUCUCUCUCUUUUUCCAUUCUCUCGGGCGACUCGAUUCUGGCCACGACUUAACGACUUAUCCCCUUUGUGUAUAGAGAUGGCGUAUAUAAUUUACGACUAGGAGAAACACGGAUAGGAAGAGCGAAAGUGAGUGACGGGCAACGCAGGGAGAAGCAAAAUGCUUUGCAUAGACAUCGGUCUAUGUCAGACGAGGGUGUCUUGCCCGUCCCUUUCCCGCGCGGAUAACGAGCAAAAUCUGUCCUCGAGAUAUCCACGAGAGCGACAACCUACCGUCCAAAUCGACAAUUCUCGCAAUAACUAACGGCCUGGAAGCAUAAAGGAGGAUUGUCAUCUUUUUGGGAAACAGAAGGGUUUCUUAAUUAACGGUAAGACGGUUCGAUAGUGCAUUCUAUUUUAGGUUUUUCGUUUCUCGAAGCCUUUUGGUGAGACUAUUUCAUUGUUUGAUUGUGUUAGCGAAAAGUAUUUAUGUUUUUCUUUUACUGCAAAUUUAUAUAUAACACGUUAGUGUUUUUUCGUGUACUCACUUUUCAUGAUAAAACUAUAUGCAAUAAUUUAUUUUUAGAGGUGUGGAUUAAAAUUUGAUAUAUAUUAGAUAUCUGUCAUGGCAAAUAUUCAAGUAUAAUAUAAACGAAUCUUUAAUCUUUUCAGUGUGGCAAUAGAUCAUAUAAAUCAUUUCUAUUUAUAAUAAUUAUUAUUAAUUAUAUUGGAAUAAACAAACGGUUGAAAUUUUCCCUACAAAUGAUUGUAAAUAGAAAAUUUGCAAUCUUCUUAGAAAUCUUAAGGAAUCAUAGAUUAAAAGAUAUUAAAGAAAAAAUUUAUCGUUUGAAUUUUAGCAAGAUAUUUUUCAUUGAUUGAAUUAUUUCUCGUGAAAAUAAAAUGAAAGUAAAAAUAGAAAUGAGAAGAAAGUAAAUUGAAAGCUUUUAUUGAUUGUCAGUUAAUAAUUGCUGAAUAAAUUAUAUUGAAAAAUUUCGUUCAUCUGGAACGUGAUUUCCAACGUAUAGAGAAUAGGAAUUUCUACGUUUCUAUCGACGAUGUACGUUUCGAUGUCGAGUGUUUGUCUUGCCAAUCAAACGUCGAGGAUUUUACUUGAGUGGUUAACUUCUUGUCACGUCUGGUUCAUCGUCGGAAGUCAUUCCACCAAUGUGUAGAAUCGUCCCGUGAAUUGGUCACGAUGUAGCGAAGACAGCUGUGAGAACUUCAUUAUUUACGCUUCUACGUGUGUCACUUUUCAUAGACGUUUUGUUACGACUGUAUUAAAAUAGAACUUCGGGAAGUGGCGCGUCGAGUGCCUUAUGAAUAAUGUAUGGAGAAUUUGUACAGAUCGAUAAAGAAUCGAUACCUGUCUUGCAGUGACAGAAGAAUGUUAAAUUGAUAAAUUGUAUGUACUGUCCAAUUAAAUUAAAAAAGUCCACAUGGUUAGAGAAAUGUAUGAAAUGAAAAGAUUUGUUUAUUAUAGUGAUCUAAUGAAUAUAAUUCACAUGAAUAUAAAUUCUUAGAUUAUAAUAUAUUCUACGAGAAUAUUCAUUCUGAUUUUGUUACUAAAGUCUUUAUUUUUUCAUAUACUUAUUUCAUAUACUCUAUUUUUAUAAUUGUAUAAUGUGACAAUUCUAUGUAAUGUGCAGAGAGAUAAAAUAAAAAUUAUAAAAGAAAAGAGAAAAGGAAA